rnacentral:rRNA from 1 species
AGUGAACGCUGGCGGUAGGCCUAACACAUGCAAGUCGAACGGCAGCACAGUAAGAGCUUGCUCUUACGGGUGGCGAGUGGCGGACGGGUGAGGAAUACAUCGGAAUCUACUUUUUCGUGGGGGAUAACGUAGGGAAACUUACGCUAAUACCGCAUACGACCUACGGGUGAAAGCAGGGGAUCUUCGGACCUUGCGCGAUUGAAUGAGCCGAUGUCGGAUUAGCUAGUUGGCGGGGUAAAGGCCCACCAAGGCGACGAUCCGUAGCUGGUCUGAGAGGAUGAUCAGCCACAAUGGAACUGAGACACGGUCCAGACUCCUACGGGAGGCAGCAGUGGGGAAUAUUGGACAAUGGGCGCAAGCCUGAUCCAGCCAUACCGCGUGGGUGAAGAAGGCCUUCGGGUUGUAAAGCCCUUUUGUUGGGAAAGAAAAGCAGCAGGUUAAUACCCCGCUGCUCUGACGGUACCCAAAGAAUAAACACCGGCUAACUUCGU